UUAAACUGGAGAGUUUGAUUCUGGCUCAGGACGAACGCUGGCGGCGUGCUUAAGACAUGCAAGUCGUACGAGAAAGUCUCUUCGGAGGCGAGUAAAGUGGCGCACGGGUGAGUAACGCGUGGGUAAUCUGCCCUUAGGUUUGGGAUAACCCCGGGAAACCGGAGCUAAUACCGAAUAAGACCACGAUGACUUCGGUCGAUGUGGGAAAAGAUGGCCUCUUCUUGAAAGCUAUCGCCAAUGGAUGAGCCCGCGUUUGAUUAGCUUGUUGGUGAGGUAACGGCUCACCAAGGCUCCGAUCAAUAGCUGGUCUGAGAGGACGACCAGCCACACUGGAACUGAGACACGGUCCAGACUCCUACGGGAGGCAGCAGUCGGGAAUAUUGGGCAAUGGGCGAAAGCCUGACCCAGCAACGCC
rnacentral:rRNA from 1 species